rfam:Candidatus Bathyarchaeota archaeon B24 scaffold59, whole genome shotgun sequence.
GGGCCGGUCGUCUAGCUGGUUAGGAUAUCCGCCUGACGCGCGGAUGGUCGCCGGUUCGAGUCCGGCCCGGCCCA